AUAAGUCUUAUGAUUAUGGUUGAUAAUUAAGACAGAGCAAGGAUAUAGAAAUCCUAGUCUUUGGCCAGCAGCAUUGUACCUAAUAUAAGUCUCUGUGUAAUAUUUGGGGCCCUAACGUGGCAGAUGGAACUUGGGCAGAACUCGGGCAGCUGGCAGAAAGAUUUAUCAUUACAGGUGGUAGCUGUUUCUUCUUCUUCUUCUUCUUCUUCUUCUUCUUCUUCUUCUUCUUCUUCUUCUUCCUCCUCCUCCUCCUCCUCCUCCUCCUCCUCCUCCUCCUCCUCCUCCUCCUCCUCUUCCUAGAGACAGGGUCUUACUAUGUAGAAUUGGCUGGCUUGGAGCUCACUAUGUAAACCAGACUGGCCUUGAACACACAGAGAUCCACCUAUCUCUGCCUCCAGAGGGCUGAUAUUAAAGGUGUGCACUAUCACACCUAGCAAUAUGUUUGGCUUCUUUAAUACUGCCUUGUUUUAUCAUGUAAAUUAUAUAUAAAAAGAAUAUACAAUUUAAACUUUUCCCCUCCCCUCCAAUUUAAACUAUUUUAGUAGAUAUUUUAUUUAUUUAUUUAUUGUUUUGGUUUUUUCAAGACAGGGUUUCUUUGUGUAGCUUUGGAGCCUAUCCUGGCACUCGCUUUGGAGACCAGGCUGGCUUCGAACUCUCAGAGAUCCGCCUGUCUCUGCCUCCCAAGUGCUGGGAUUAAAGGCGUGAGACACCAAUGCCAGGUUUUAGUAGAUAUUUUAAAUACAGCUUUAAGCACACUCACCUCUUGUGCAACCAUUAUCAUUGAAUACCCCACAGGGAAUAUUGCUCUAAAGACUACAUGCCUGUAGAUCAUAAGAAUGGACCCUUUUUUGUUGGGCCCAUUUCAUUUUAUGUGAUAUAUUUCAAGGCAAUAUUAUUGAUUUUUGUAGAUUUAUUCUAUUGCUUUUAUUGUUGUGGGAUUUUGUUUGUUUCUUUGUUUUUGAUGAUAAAUAUUAAAUAAAUAUAAAGUAUGUGCCAAGCACAUACUUCAAGCUGCACUGCCAGCCAUGUAGGUUGGUCUUUUACACAGCAACCUUUAUAUAAUAGCUUCCUCAUUGGUUAUAUGGUUUUUCUAGAAAGAGGAAUCAGUCUUAUGCAAAUAACAUUAAAUAUAUCAUUAUGCACUUAUGCUCCUCUCAUAUGUUUUCCUUUCCUGUUCUGUGGGCAGAAGUACCCAGUGCUGUGUGGAGCAGUAACUGUUGAUGUAUGUGGGGACUCUGGACCUGGCCCAGACUUUCAACAAAAUGCACUGAAUUCAGUGUUAGUGUGAUAUGGGGCUUAGUUUGUAAACUUUGCCAUGUUAGUAAACUUUUCUUCUGUCUCUGGUUUACUUAAAAUUUGCUCCACCUUCUUUUCUUUCUUUCUUUUUUUUGUGAGACAGGGUCUCUCUGUGUAGAUUUGUAGAGCAGGCUGGCCUCCAACUCACAGAAAUCUGCCUGCCUCUGCCUCCCAAGUGCUGUGAUCAAAGGCAUGAGCCACCACCGCCCAGCUCUCCACCUCCUUUUUUUAGGGCAGGAUCUCAUGUAGCACAUUUUGGCCUUGAACUCCUUAUUAAUCCUCUCUCCAUCUCCAGAGUGCUGGGAUCACAGUCUGUUAUCAUGCCUGGUUGUGCUGCUGGGGAUGAACAAAAUCCAGGGCUUUAUGUGUAUUAGGCAAGCACUCUACAAAUGGACUCACACCCCAGUCUUGUUCAAAAGUUAUUCAAAGCUGGUUGUUGGUGGCACACACCUAUAAUCCGAGCACUUGGGAGGCAGAGAGAGGCAGAUCUCUGUGAGUUCCAGGCCAGCCUGGUCUACAGAGCAAGUUUCAGGGCAGGUUCCAAAACAAUACAGAGAAACCUUGUCUCAAAAAACAAACAAACAAACAAACAAAAAACCAAAAACAAAAGUUAUUCAAAACUUUCUUUUGAAAUUUAUUUUUACUUUUGUGUGUCUGUGUGUUGGUAUGUGCAUGUGAAUGCUGGUACCUUCAGAGGCCAGAGGAGUUGGAUGUCCCUGGGCUGAAGUUGCAGAGAGUUGUGAGCUGUUCAAUAUAGCUGCUGGGAAUCAAACUUUGGUCCUCUGCAAAAGUAAUAUACACUUUUAACCACCGAGCCAUCUCUCUAGUCCCUAUUCAAAUCUUUUUCUGCAUCAAUUGAGAUAAUCACAGUUUCUCCAUUAAGUCAUUGAGACACUCUUUCAUUCUGUACUGGCUGGUUUUAUAUGUCAAUUUGACACAAGUUAGAGUCAUUAGAGAGGAAGAAGCCUCAGUGGAAGAAAGGCCUCAAUGAGAUCCAGCUAUAAGACAUUUUUUCAGUUAGUGAUCAUUGAGGGAGGGCCUAGCCCAUGGUGGGUAAUGCCAUCCCUGGGCAGGUGGUCCUGGGUUCCAUAAGAAGGUGGGCUAAGUGGCCAGAGGAAGCAAGCAAGUAAGCAGCUCCCCUCCAUGGCUUCUACAUCAGCUCCUGCCUCCAGGAUCCUGCCCUGUUUGAGUUCCUGUCCUGACUUCCUUCAUUGAUGAACAGCAGUGCUAAAGUAUAAGCCUAAUAAACAAUUUCCUCCCCAACUUGCUUUUGGGUCAUGGUGUUUCAUCAUAGCAAUCGAAACCCUAACUAAGUCAUAUUCCUAGGACACAACCCAUUUUCUCAUAGUGAUUUAUUUUCUAAACAUUGGUGAAAUAAAUUCUAGAGUAACUUCCUUUCAGUCCAGAGGGUGCAGCAGGUAACUUGGUCCUUCUUGACAUCAAUUAUCAUGAAACCCUGGGAACUUAAGGGGCUAUUGAAGUGUAAACUGCAUAGUGACCAUGGGAGUUACUAUUUGCAAAGCGAGAGUUCUGUUGACUCUUUAAAUUAGCUCAGCCUAUAAAGGCACCUGCAGCCCAAACCUGAGGACCUGAGUUCAAUCCCGGGGCCCACAUGAUAGAAGGAGACACCUGACUCCUGAAUAGUGUCAUCUGACAUCCAUGAGUGUUGUGGUACACACACACACACACACACACACACACACACACACACACACACACACACUGCACACACUACACACACAUGUACAUACACAUAUAAAUAAAUAAAAGGCAAUAUUUUAAAAUGCUGCCAGAUGGUGGUGGUGCAUGCCUUUAAUCCCAGCACUUAGGAGGCAGAGGCAGGCAGAUCUCUUGAGUUUGAGCCCUGGUCUACAGAGUGAGUUCCAGGACAGACAGGGCUAACAGAGAAACUCUGUCUCAAAAAACCAAUAAAAUAAAAUAAAAUAAAAUAAAAUAAUUAAUAAAAUGCUUAUAUUAACUGGGCAUGGUAGCACACACUACAUAGUGAGUUCCAAGACAACCAGAGCUACAUAGUAAGAUCCCAUCUCAAACACACAAACCAACAGCUUACAUCAAUCUCAGGAAUGAGAAUCUGGGUGUGUGAAGAAAGGUAGCAUUUCAGAAAAACAAUCAUUGCACAGGGGAAAGGGACAUAGCUCCAGCAGAAAACAUGAAGAAAACUCUGUUUAUGUGAUCCAUAAAAUAUCUAAAGAAUUUAAGUAUUUUAGGAUCUGGAGGCUCACCAGUAUUUCCUGCCUGGUAAAUACCUCUAGGAAGCUCGACUCUGAGACUUUGGCACCAAUAGUUAGAACUAGUAUGAAGCAGCUGCAAGCUUAAUUUUGGGGAAAAAAUUACUUCCUGAUGCCCAUGUACUACCAUGGCAGACAGAUAAAAAGUAUAAACCAAAUGGAAUGGAUAUAUGCUACCACCCAAUUCACAACUUUGUAUUUUCUUUCUGAUGAGUGCUGUGCUACAUAUAGCCUGAGCUCUGGGGGAGGAAAGGACAGAGAGGGGCCUAUCCCUGCCCUAAAUACCAUUUGAAGCUGGCUGCUAAUGCCAGAAGCAGGGCGAGCAAGUACCAGUCUGGGGAGAAGGCAUCUGUGGGGAAGUCAUACCUUGUAAAAGAGCUAGGAUAAGAUCUGGGAGGAUGAGCUGCCCAGCUUUGAAAAGAACAGGGCAGUCAGGGCAGCAACCAGAGUUCUAGAGAAGCUGUGCUGCUCUGGGGGAAUGUCUGAGAGUGGUGUAGCUAGCAGGGUUAGGUCAGAGAAGACCAGAGUGAUGGAGGAUGUCUUUCUUUAUGCUGUGAAUGUAUGUUUCUCUUAUUGGUUGACGAAUAAAACUGUUUCAGCCAGUGGACAGGCAGGAUGUAGCCAGGCAGGAAGUAUAGGUAGGGUUACCAGACUAGAAGAAUUCUUGGGAGAGGAAUGCAGAGAGUGAGUCAUAAAAGAGACACCAUGUAGCUACCAGGAAGGUAGGAUGCCCAAGCAUGUCUCAAAAACAGUAAGCCAAUACCAUGUGGAGAUACACAGAUUAGUAGAAAUGGGUUAAUAAUUAAAAGAGAGCUACCCAAUAAGAAGCCUGAGCAAUAGGCCAAACAGUUUGUAAUUAAUAUAAGGCCCUGUGUGUUUAUUUGGAACUAAAUGGCUGUGGGACUGGGCAGGACAGAAACUUCUGUCGACAUUUGGCACCCAAUGUGGGGAACAAACCAUGACCCUGAGAUUAAGAGCCUCAUUCUCUACCAACUGAGUUAGCCAGGCUUGAGCCCAGCAUAGCAUAUUCCUGCCUCGGUUCACAGAGGCUGUCUCCAAGCUGCACAGCAUGCUGCAUAGCAGAUUUAGCUAUUAUUCAUACAGAUAAAAAAGGUUUAUGAGCAGUGUGCUACAAACUGCUUGAUGGCAGCAUAGACCAGAGUUGAGGCAGUGAGCACAGCUACCAAAGCUUUCAGUAAAGGUACCCCCACCAAGUUGAAAAGCCUAACUGGGUGGAGCCAACAUCCAAAACCUUUGCUUUAAUCCUAGCCAUGCAGUUUAGCAGAAUAAAGACUCAUAUGGUCAGCCAAAGAUAGAGAUAUACAAUAAAGACAGAUUCAGACUAAGAAAAACCUCUAAACAGUUUUACAGUGUGUUUAAAACCUAUGUAGGCUGGAAUAGAAAAGAAAAAGGAUAAAGUCCUUAAAAAAGAAAUAGAUUAGCUGGGUAUAGUGGCACAUGCCUUUCAUCCCAGCACUCAGGAGGCAGAGGCAUGCAGAUCUGUGAUUUCAAGGCCAGCCUGGUUUACAGAGUGAGUUCCAGGAUACACUGAGAAACCCUGUCUCAAAAGAACAAAAAAAUAAAAAAUAAAAAUGAAAGAAUUAGAGUAAUAAAAAAGCCACAUAAAGAUGGAAAAUACACAGAGAGUCUGGAUACUGUAUGUUAUUAUGUUGUCUUUGAAUUGUUUGACUACUGAGGUAGGAGCAACAGGUGCUAAAAGACAUUUGAUCAUAAAUGCUGCUGGAUUAAUCCAACCUACAUAUUUUGAAAAUGCCUUGACUUCAAAUUUUAUAUCUAAGGACAUGUUACUUUGUAGAACAGGUUCUGAUUUUGUUUCCACAGAAGAUGAAAAGCCGUGGAUUCCUUCUAGGCUAAUAUGGCGUGAUCAAACAAGAUCUCCUGAAGCAGUGUCCCAUGUGAUCCAACAUCCAAAACAGCUGAGAUGAUGUUUGGCCACGGUUCUGGGUUUUUUCUGGAUCCCCAUGGGAUUGAUAGUGCCCUCAAACAGCAGGGAGCAGUUUGGAGAAAACUACACCCAAAUUUCCAAAUAUUGUUUAUAAAUUUUUUUUUCAUUUAAACAGGGUUGGUUAUAAAUGGUUAAUGAAAACAGUCAAUCUCUUUCUAAAGAAAAAAAAUGGGAAUUGAUAUAGAAAUGAAUACUUUGCACUGGUAUGAAUUUUGGUUUAUUGAUAUAAUUUUUUUUUUUUUGGUUUUUUGAGACAUGGUUUCUCUGUGUAGCUUUGGAACCUAUCCUGGCACUCGCUCUGGAGACCAGGCUGGCCUCGAACUCACAGAGAUCCACCUGCCUCUGCCUCCCGAGUUCUGGGAUUAAAGUGAGAUACAACUGCUCCUGGAAACACCAAUUACAUCAGAGAGGAAGAUGGGCAUCAAAGAAACUUGUUAUGGAGUUUGCCUUCAACCUGGUUGGGAUAGCUAUUUGGAUAAGAAACUGCUUUUGUUUGGACUGUUUGACAGCACGCUGUCCAAACUGGACAAGCCGGUUACAAAGGAAAAUGACUGCUGAACUUGCCAAAGGACAGGAUGGUCCUUCAAGGUUCCUGCUUCAUCAAAAACUCUGCCAAACAUUCUGGGCCUAUAGGCUGAAGAGGGAUGCCCCAAUGUUACAGAGGAACUUUGAGUGACUGUCCAGGCAGUGAGAUGUCUCUGUCAAUAUUCUACAGUUUAUAUAUUAUCCUUCUGAGGUCUUUGAUGGAGAUGAAGACAUUUAGUUAUGGUUAUGGUUUUCCUUAGCUAUGAUAAAAGAUAAGUUACAUACAAAACUUUAGUCUCACAAUGAUAAGAUAGAUG
rnacentral:lncRNA from 1 species